rnacentral:lncRNA from 1 species
AAGCCGCGCCCAAAAAGAAGCGCCCGAAGGUCGUGGUGCCAAAACCCCCCAGCGGAAAAAUGGCCAAAAAACGGGUGGGCUAUAGCCUUGGUGGGGGGCGCGGGCGAAGUUAGUCCGCCGGACUCGGAAUGGAGCGAGACUUUGCGAGGGGCCUCGGGGUGCCAAAAAUAAGCCGCGGGCAAAGCCGCGCCCGAAGGUCAUGGUGCCAAAACCCCCCAGCGGAAAAAUGGCCAAAAAACGGGAGGGCUAUAGCCUUGGUGGGGGGCGCGGGCGAAGUUCGUCCGCCGGACUCGGAAUGGGGCGAGACUUUGCGAGGGGCCUCAGGGUGCCAAAAAUAAGCCGCGGGCAAAGCCGCGCCCAAAAAUAAGCGCCCGAAGGUCGUGGUGCCAAAACCCCCCAGCGGAAAAAUGGCCAAAAAAUGGGUCGUGGGCUAUAGCCUUGGUGGGGGGCGCGGGCGAAGUUCGUCCGCCGGAGUCGGAAUGGGGCGAGACUUUGCGAGGGGCCUCGGGGUGCCAAAAAUAAGCCACGGGCAAAGCCGCGCCAAAAAAUAAGCGCCGAAGGUCGUGGUGCCAAAACCCCCCAGCGGAAAAAUGGCCAAAAAACGGGUCGUGGGCGAUAGCCUAGGUGGGGGCGCGGGCGAAGUUCGUCCGCCGGACUCGGAAUGGGGCGAGACUUUGCGAGGGGCCUCGGGGUACCAAAAAUAAGCCGCGGGCAAAGCCGCGCCCAAAAAUAAGCGCCCGAAGGUCGUGGUGCCAAAACCCCCCAGCGGAAAAAUGGGAAAAAAACGGGUGGGCUAUAGCCUUGGUGGGGGGCGCGGGCGAAGUUCGUCCGCCGGACUCGGAAUGGGACGAGACUUUGCGAGGGGCCUCGGCGUGCCAAAAAUAAGCCGCGGGCAAAGCCGCGCCCAAAAAUAAGCUCCCGAAGGUCGUGGUGCCAAAACCCCCCAGCGGAAAAAUGGCCAAAAAACGGGUCGUGGGCUAUAGCCUUGGUAGGGGGCGCGGGCGAAGUUCGUCCGCCGGACUCGGAAUGGGGCGGGACUUUGCGAGGGGCCUCGGGGUGCCAAAAAUAAGCCGCGGGCAAGGCCGCGCCAAAAAUAAGCGCCCGAAGGUCGUGGUGCCAAAACCCCCCAGCGGAAAAAUGGCCAAAAAACGGGUGGGCUACAGCCUUGGUGGGGGGCGCGGGCGAAGUUCGUCCGCCGGACUCGGAAUGGGGCGAGACUUUGCGAGGGGCCUCGGGGUGCGAAAAAUAAGCCGCGGGCAAAGCCGCGCCCAAAAAGAAGCGCCCGGAGGUCGUGGUGCCAAAACCCCCCAGCGGAAAAAUGGCCAAAAAACGGGUGGGCUAUAGCCUUGGUGGGGGGCGCGGGCGAAGUUAGUCCGCCGGACUCGGAAUGGAGCGAGACUUUGCGAGGGGCCUCGGGGUGCCAAAAAUAAGCCGCGGGCAAAGCCGCGCCCGAAGGUCAUGGUGCCAAAACCCCCCAGCGGAAAAAUGGCCAAAAAACGGGAGGGCUAUAGCCUUGGUGGGGGGCGCGGGCGAAGUUCGUCCGCCGGACUCGGAAUGGGGCGAGACUUUGCGAGGGGCCUCAGGGUGCCAAAAAUAAGCCGCGGGCAAAGCCGCGCCCAAAAAUAAGCGCCCGAAGAUCGUGGUGCCAAAACCCCCCAGCGGAAAAAUGGCCAAAAAAUGGGUCGUGGGCUAUAGCCUUGGUGGGGGGCGCGGGCGAAGUUCGUCCGCCGGAGUCGGAAUGGCGCGAGACUUUGCGAGGGGCCUCGGGGUGCCAAAAAUAACCCACGGGCAAAGCCGCGCCAAAAAAAAUCCGCCCAAGGUCGUGGUGUCAAAACCCCUAGCGGAAAAAUGGUCAAAAAACGGGUCGUGGGCGNNNNNNNNNNNNNNNNNNNNNNNNNNNNNNNNNNNNNNNNNNNNNNNNNNNNNNNNNNNNNNNNNNNNNNNNNNNNNNNNNNNNNNNNNNNNNNNNNNNNACUCGGAAUGGGGCGAGACUUUGCGAGGGGCCUAGGGGUACCAAAAAUAAACCGCGGGCAAAGCCGCGCCCAAAAAUAAGCGCCCGAAGGUCGUGGUGCCAAAACCCCCCAGCGGAAAAAUGGGAAAAAAACGGGUGGGCUAUAGCCUUGGUGGGGGGCGCGGGCGAAGUUCGUCCGCCGGACUCGGAAUGGGGCGAGACUUUGCGAGGGGCCUCGGCGUGCCAAAAAUAAGCCGCGGGCAAAGCCGCGCCCAAAAAUAAGCGCCCGAAGGUCGUGGUGCCAAAACCCCCCAGCGGAAAA